rnacentral:misc_RNA from 1 species
GGUAACGGACGCGUCUGACCACGCAAUGGGUGCAGUUUUGCAGCAGCUGAAGGACAAUGCUUGGCAACCUCUAGCAUUCUUCUCGCGGAGGCUGAGUCCCUCUCAGCAAAAGUACUCAACGUACGACCGCGAGCUGUUAGCCGUAUACGAAAGUAUAAGAUACUUUCGUCAUAUGGUUGAGGCUAGGCACUUCGUGGUAUAUACCGACCACAAGCCGCUCACGCAUGCUUUUGCUGAGAGGAAAGCAAAUUGCUCACCUCGGCAAUACCGACACCUAGACUACAUCGCGCAGUUCACAACCGACAUUAGACACAUAGCGGGCAAAGACAAUGUCGUCGCUGACCCUUUGUCACGUGUCGAAGAACUGCAGCUGCCUGUAGAUCUAGAUGUUCUGGCUUCGUCUCAAACUGCUGACGAGGAGCUGUCUCGGCUUCUGAGAGGAGAAUCUUCACUCCGCCUGGAGAAGUUAAGGGUCCCCAACUGCCGAACAGAGCUCUAUUGUGACGUCAGCACUCCUUCUCCGAGACCUUUUGUUCCCAAGUCAUUGAGGAGACAAAUUUUCGACAGCCUGCAUAGCCUUAGCCACCCUGGCGCAAACGCUAGUACUAAGUUAGUUGCAGAGCGUUACGUCUGGCCCGGCGUACGCAAAGACUGUCGACAGUGGUCUCGUCAAUGCUUGGCUUGUCAACGCGCCAAGGUUAACCGUCACGUGUCGUCUCCACUGGGCACGUUCGGUCUUCCUCGCGCCAGAUUCGCUUUUGUCCAUGUGGACAUUAUAGGCCCCCUGCCUGUGUCACAGGGGUACCGCUACUGUUUUACUGCGGUGGACCGCUUCACACGCUGGCCAGAAGUCACGCCAAUGGUGGACAUGACAGCCGAAACAGUGGGUAAGGCAUUGAUAUCGUGGAUAUCCAGAUUUGGAUGUCCAACUGAUAUUGUCACCGAUCGCGGGCGACAGUUUGAAUCUUCUCUUUUCCAGUACCUUGGAAAAGUUGUCGGAUUCAAACAUCGCAGAACAACCGCGUAUCACCCAGCUUGCAACGGGCUGGUGGAACGGUUCCACCGUCAGUUGAAGGCGGCUAUAAUGUGCCAUGCGGAUAAAAAUUGGGUGGACACUUUACCUUUAGUUCUCUUAGGUAUAAGGAGCGCGUUAAAAGACGACCUUCAGACGUCAUCCGCCGAGUUGGUGUACGGCGAGCCGUUGCGUUUGCCAGGAGAUUUUUUCCAGCCCACGGAAACCGGUUCGACUGACAUUUCAGAUUUUACGACACGUUUGCGCAAAUUCGCAUCUCAAUUGCAACCGGCACCUGCUGCGCGUCACAACAGGGCCAAAAUCUUUGUUUACAAGGAUCUAGCUUCUUCGACCCAUGUCUUUCUAAGGGAUGAUACCUUGCGUGGUUCCUUGCAGCCCCCUUACACUGGUCCUUACCCUGUACUUGAGCGUAAUGACAAGACUUUUAAAAUACUGGUAAAGGGUAAUAGCGUCACUGUAUCCAUAGACCGCCUAAAGCCGGCCUAUAUGCAGACUGACUUGUCUUCCAACCCCACCCCAACUCCUACCCCUUCCAAUAAUCCUAUCCCCGGUCCCAGUCCUAUCCCUGUAGGCCAAAGCGACCUUCCCCAGGAUGGGCUCGGAAGAACGCGCUCGGGCCGUACGGUUCGUUUUCCCGAUUUCUAUCGCCCGUAGUGACGGUCUCCGGGGGGGAGUGAUGUAGCCACUCACACUCACACAUUCAUCACACACACACAUAAAAAUCCUUUUCACAUAAAAUAUAUAUUUACAAUAUAUAUUACUUAUAUACACUACACUACACUACACUAAAAUUAUAUUUAAAUACUAUUUACAAGAAUUAUAUACAACACCUACUAUUCUGCCUAUCUCCUUAAAUCUAUUUUAUUUACUAAUUACAAUAUCGUGCAUUGGAAACAAACGGCUCAGUCGCGCGGUCGCCUGUCAAACAGGUUUUAGGAACUUGCCACGGCGUAUGCGCCUGCGGCGCCGCGCCGUCCAACACUCCGCGCCAGUCGAGAUUUCGUCAUCGGCCGCGAAGCCCAUGUCGCUUGCUUUACCGCUCGCAAAACUUCUGCUAUCGCACGUACUCGCUAUCUAGUUUAAUAUUUCCAAUCCUGUACUUAAUUUCUACUCCUUCUAUUCUGUGUGGUGUUUUCUAUGAUCUGUUAACUGUAUAUCUUCCGUGUGUGCCUGUGCUUACGCAAUUACACGUGCUACAUUACUGGACUUGGGACUUUUUCUCCACACCCUUAACACCCGACGACCAACGGAGCAGGAUGGCGCAGCCAGUGGGGCGCAUAGCGACCGACUAGGCCUUUGGUUCGGUCCCAGACUAGGCAAGCGCUCUCUCAGGAUAUCUACCGAAGAUAACAGACAAGCAUUCUUCAAAUUACUCGAAGCUGCCGACGCCUUGA